rnacentral:rRNA from 1 species
GACGAACGCUGGCGGCGUGCUUAACACAUGCAAGUCGAACGAAGUGGCGAACGGGUGAGUAAUACGUGGGUAACCUGCCCUCCUUUUUGGGAUAAGCCUUGGAAACGGGGUCUAAUACCGAAUAAAGGGGGAUGGGCCCGAGGCCUAUCAGCUUGUUGGUGGGGUGAUGGCCUACCAAGGCGGUUACGGGUAGCCGGCCUGAGAGGGUGACCGGCCACAUUGGGACUGAGAUACCGCCCAGACUGCUACGGGAGGCAGCAGUGGGGGAUAUUGCACAAUGGGCGAAAGCCUGAUGCAGCGACGCCGCUUGGGGGUUGAGGGCUUUCGGGUUGUAACCCUCUUUCGCUCUCGAACAGGUAAGUGAAGAAGAAGCGCCGGCUAACUACGUGCCAGCCGCCGCGGUAAUAC